rnacentral:rRNA from 1 species
GUGAGGAAUAUUGCGCAAUGGAGGCAACUCUGACGCAGCCAUGCCGCGUGCAGGAAGAAGGCGCUACGCGUUGUAAACUGCUUUUAACCGGGAAGAAACCCCAGGACGUGUCCUGGGUUGACGGUACCGGAGGAAUAAGCACCGGCUAACUUCGUGCCAGCAGCCGCGGUAAUACGAAGGGUGCAAGCGUUAUCCGGAUUCAUUGGGUUUAAAGGGUGCGUAGGCGGAGCGUUAAGUCAGUGGUGAAAUCCUGCAGCUUAACUGUAGACUUGCCAUUGAUACUGGCGCUCUUGAGUGCGCUUGAAGUGGGCGGAAUUUGCCGUGUAGCGGUGAAAUGCUUAGAUAUGGCACAGAACACCAAUUGCGAAGGCAGCUCACUAAGGCGAUACUGACGCUGAGGCACGAAAGCGUGGGGAUCGAACAGGAUUAGAAACCCUGGUAGUCC